GUGGCCUCCUCCCUCGGCCGCUCCGGCGCCCCCAGCCCGCGCGCCCCGGGGACCCGCUGGGAAAUCGCCCGCCGCCCGCCCCCCAUCCGCGCGCAGCGUCCCACCUGCCUGGGCGCGAGGCCGCCCCAAAACCUGGCCGGCCUGGGUGGGACCCUCGUGCCGCCGCGCGCGGUGGGACGGAGCCUGCACACCUACUGUGGGGGGCGCAGAGGGCACCUGCCGAGCCCCCCAAGACCAUGGGCAUGGGGGUGCUCGUGGAAGGCAGGUGUGCGUGUCCUGUGCUACGGACCAGGACCAGGGCGCUCACACCAUCCCUGCCUGGGAGGGACGGCCAGCAGGUGACAAACGCCAGCGUCCCAGGGCACUGAGGCCACACAGGGCCCAGACGGAGCCUCCCCCUGAGACCCACCCAGCCGCCCACCACCCACAGAUGGGACCCUCUGGGCACCCCUCCCACUCAGGCAGGCUGAGGGGCCCCGCCGGGACUUCACAUGGGGGCUGACAGGGUUAAUGCAGUACACCCGGCUGAAAACAAACUGGAACAUACCAGACUGAAAAAGGAAAGCCUCUCCCCACUGCCUUCCAGGCAACCACUGUUAACAAAUUCCUCAGCACCUUCCAGAACGAACGUCUGAGGCCUGUAGCCUUUCAUUUAUUUAUUCAUUUAUCGAGACAGGGUUUUGGCUAACGGCUGUAAUCCCAGCACUUUGGGAGACCCU
rnacentral:lncRNA from 10 species